AGCAUGGUGGUACAGUGGUUUGCAUUGCUGCCUCGCAAUAAGGAGGUUCCGGAUUCGAGUCGCGGCCGGCCA